rnacentral:lncRNA from 1 species
CUUCUCCCAGAUCUCGGGGGACACCCUCCUUGUGCCACGUGGCGCGGGAGCGGACGGAGAGCCAGGUGCUGGACGAGCCAGCACUUAACCCAAGGCAGAGUACCCAGAGAUAGCAAGUUCCCAGAGAUCGCUUGUGGAUGAGUGGAUUCAGUGUGGAAUGUUUGCCAAAUGAAGACCUGGGUGCAGUUUGAACAGUGUUAUGAAACAGCAAAGGAGGGAGCAGCUGACUGCCUAGGGAAUCUGUGUGCCCUUGAGGGUGGAGACUAUAUUCCAGUUGGAGAUUCAAAUAUUGAUCAGAACACCAUGCUACAGAAACAAACAAUGGGAAAGUUCUUUAUGUACCAGCAUGUGACACCAAGCUAUAUUGUUAAGUGUACACUGAUGAACUACCUCUGGAUGUAUUCUGGGAACACUGAUUGCCAGAUUGGGAUGGGAGCUGAGUGGUUGAGGGAACAGAUAAGAAGAGGCUCUUCCUCAGAUUCCUUUUGUACCUUUGAAAUUUGAGCCAUGUGUAUGUACUACUGAGUCGAAAAAUACAUAACAAAUAUUAAAUUUAUACAUAAGAUCUAGUAAAAAAAAAUAUUUGCUCAAAAACCACCUAAAAAAUCCCACCAAAAUAAAUAAAUAAAAGCAAAUGUCA